rfam:Triticum aestivum genome assembly, contig: Triticum_aestivum_CS42_TGACv1_scaffold_486750_6AS
UGUGUACUCCCUUUGUCUCAAAUUUUUUGUCUUAGAUUUGUCUAAGUACGGAUGUAUUAAGUCACGUUUUAAUAUUAAGUACAUCCGUAUCUAAACAAAUCUAAGACAAGAAUUUUGAGAUGGAGGGAGUACUAU